AGAGGUCGCGUGAUGAUCGCAUAGUUCAAAUGAUCUUCACCAUCUUGUAUGGUGUUAUGAUUAUUGACAACGUCUUUCGCUCCUAUCUGACGACCUUU